rnacentral:rRNA from 1 species
GAUGAACGCUGGCGGCGUGCUUAACACAUGCAAGUCGAGCGAGAAACCUUCGGGUUUCUAGCGGCGGACGGGUGAGUAACACGUGGGUAACCUGCCUCAAAGAGGGGGAUAGCCUUCCGAAAGGAAGAUUAAUACCGCAUAAUAUUACAGUUUCGCAUGAAGCAGUAAUUAAAGGAGUAAUCCGCUUUGAGAUGGACCCGCGGCGCAUUAGCUAGUUGGAGAGGUAACGGCUCACCAAGGCAACGAUGCGUAGCCGACCUGAGAGGGUGAUCGGCCACAUUGGAACUGAGACACGGUCCAGACUCCUACGGGAGGCAGCAGUGGGGAAUAUUGCACAAUGGGCGAAAGCCUGAUGCAGCAACGCCGCAUGAGUGAUGAAGGUCUUCGGAUUGUAAAGCUCUGUCUUUUGGGACGAUAAUGACGGUACCAAAGGAGGAAGCCACGGCUAACUACGUGCCAGCCGCCACGUAA